rnacentral:rRNA from 1 species
AUUGAACGCUGGCGGCAGGCUUUACACAUGCAAGUCGAACGAGUGGCGGACGGGUGAGUAAUGCUUGGGAAUCUAGCUUAUGGAGGGGGAUAACUACGGGAAACUGUAGCUAAUACCGCGUACCAUAGGAGGAGCCCAUGUCGGAUUAGUUAGUUGGGGGGGUAAAGGCUCACCAAGCCGACGAUCUCUAGCUGGUCUGAGAGGAUGACCAGCCACCAGGGGACUGAGACACGGCCCAGAGUCCUACGUGAGGCAGCAGUGGGGAAUAUUGCGCAAUGGGGGCAACCUGACGCAGCCAUGCCGCGUGAAUGAAGAAGGCCUUCGGGUUGUAAAGUUCUUUCGGUGGCGAGGCGUUAACUACAGAAGAAGCACCGGCUAACUACGUGCCACCAGCCGCGGUAAUAC